AUUAUUCUUCUUUGCUCAAGUCCCAACAAUCUUACUUAAUAUCCCACACAACAUUCUUUCCUUUUCAACUAAAUUAUAUCAAAAUCUCCACUAAAAAGUUUAGGGUUUUC